GAUGAAGAACGUAGCGAAAUGCGAUAAGUAGUGUGAAUUGCAGAAUUCAGUGAAUCAUCGAAUCUUUGAACGCACAUUGCGCCCCUUGGUAUUCCAUGGGGCAUGCCUGUUCGAGCGUCAUCUACACCCUCAAGCUCUGCUUGGUGUUGGGCGUCUGUCCCGCCUUUGCGCGUGGACUCGCCCCAAAUUCAUUGGCAGCGGUCCUUGCCUCCUCUCGCGCAGCAUAUUUGCGCUUCUCGAGGUGCGCGGGCCGCGUCCACGAAGCAACUAUUACCGUCUUUGACCUCGGAUCAGGUAGGGAUACCCGCUGAACUUAAGCAUAUCAAUAAGCGGAGGA
rnacentral:misc_RNA from 1 species